GCCUCUAUAGCUCAGUCGGUAGAGCGCGGCCCUUUUAAGGCCGUGGUCGC
rnacentral:tRNA from 1 species